rnacentral:rRNA from 9 species
GAAGUUUUCAGAGAUGAGAAUGUGCCUUCGGGAACCGUGAGACAGGUGCUGCAUGGCUGUCGUCAGCUCGUGUUGUGAAAUGUUGGGUUAAGUCCCGCAACGAGCGCAACCCUUAUCCUUUGUUGCCAGCGGUCCGGCCGGGAACUCAAAGGAGACUGCCAGUGAUAAACUGGAGGAAGGUGGGGAUGACGUCAAGUCAUCAUGGCCCUUACGACCAGGGCUACACACGUGCUACAAUGGCGCAUACAAAGAGAAGCGACCUCGCGAGAGCAAGCGGACCUCAUAAAGUGCGUCGUAGUCCGGAUUGGAGUCUGCAACUCGACUCCAUGAAGUCGGAAUCGCUAGUAAUCGUGGAUCAGAAUGCCACGGUGAAUACGUUCCCGGGCCUUGUACACACCGCCCGUCACACCAUGGGAGUGGGUUGCAAAAGAAGUAGGUAGCUUAACCUUCGGGAGGGCGCUUACCACUUUGUGAUUCAUGACUGGGGUGAAGUCGUAACAAGGUAACCGUAGGGGAACCUGC